rnacentral:rRNA from 1 species
UACGAAGGGGGGCUAGCGUUGCUCGGAUUGACUGGGCGUAAAGGGCGCGUAGGCGGUUCGUACAGUCAGACGUGAAAUUCCUGGGCUCAACCUGGGGGCUGCGUUUGAUACGUGCGGACUUGAGUGCGGAAGAGGGUCGUGGAAUUCCCAGUGUAGAGGUGAAAUUCGUAGAUAUUGGGAAGAACACCGGUGGCGAAGGCGGCGACCUGGUCCGAUACUGACGCUGAGGCGCGAAAGCGUGGGGAGCAAACGG